UACGAAGGGGGCUAGCGUUGUUCGGAUUAACUGGGCGUAAAGGGUGCGUAGGCGGGCAUUUACGUCAGGGGUGAAAUCCCAAGGCUCAACCUUGGAACUGCCUUUGAUACUGGGUGUCUUGAGUCCGGGAGAGGUGAGUGGAACUGCGAGUGUAGAGGUGAAAUUCGUAGAUAUUCGCAAGAACACCAGUGGCGAAGGCGGCUCACUGGGCCGGAACUGACGCUGAGGCACGAAAGCGUGGGGAGCAAACAGG
rnacentral:rRNA from 1 species